rnacentral:rRNA from 1 species
CAGCAGCCGCGGGAAUACGAAGGGGGCUAGCGUUGUUCGGAAUUACUGGGCGUAAAGCGCACGUAGGCGGAUAUUUAAGUCAGGGGUGAAAUCCCGGGGCUCAACCCCGGAACUGCCUUUGAUACUGGAAGUCUUGAGUAUGGUAGAGGUGAGUGGAAUUCCGAGUGUAGAGGUGAAAUUCGUAGAUAUUCGGAGGAACACCAGUGGCGAAGGCGGCUCACUGGACCAUUACUGACGCUGAGGUGCGAAAGCGUGGGGAGCAAACAGGAUUAGAUACCCCUGUAGUCCCUGUCUCUUAUAC